AGAGUUUGAUCAUGGCUCAGGACGAACGCUGGCGGCGUGCUUAACACAUGCAAGUCGAACGGAAAGGCCCUUUCGGGGGUACUCGAGUGGCGAACGGGUGAGUAACACGUGGGUGAUCUGCCCUGCACUUUGGGAUAAGCCUGGGAAACUGGGUCUAAUACCGAAUACACCUUGCUGGUUGCAUGACUGGUGGGGGAAAGCUUUUGCGGUGUGGGAUGGGCCCGCGGCCUAUCAGCUUGUUGGUGGGGUGAUGGCCUACCAAGGCGACGACGGGUAGCCGGCCUGAGAGGGUGUCCGGCCACACUGGGACUGAGAUACGGCCCAGACUCCUACGGGAGGCAGCAGUGGGGAAUAUUGCACAAUGGGCGCAAGCCUGAUGCAGCGACGCCGCGUGAGGGAUGACGGCCUUCGGGUUGUAAACCUCUUUCAGUAUCGACGAAGCGCAAGUGACGGUAGGUACAGAAGAAGCACCGGCCAACUACGUGCCAGCAGCCGCGGUA
rnacentral:rRNA from 1 species